CUAACUGUCCCUUUUGUGUAACAAUUUGUCUUCCCACUGAGGUCAGCUUUUAAACAGAAAGUGCUGUUUGUUUGGAAGCAAAAAAGUUUCAUGUAGAAAAACAUCCAAAUGCAAUGUUUCGACACUGGAAAACCUUCCCACUCUCCCUGGCCUCCGCUCCAUUUUUCUCCAGAUGAAACAGGUCAAAUCUGACCUGAAUUCCUGGCAAGCUCCAGCAUCCUUCCAAGGGAAAUUUGCAGAUUGUCCCUGAGCCUCUGCUCUGCUCUGGGCACGGAAACGGCUUCACCCUGCACUCCCUGCUCAUCAAGAAGUUCAUUGUGCCCCUGCUCUGAGGAGCUUUUGUGAUGGAUCGGAUCUUGGCUGAAAUCACCCAAAUAUUCUGCAUUCAGUAGAGGGUCAGGUCACAUUCCCGGGCCCGAUUUACUACGCCAGCCUCCUCUGGGAAGGGCAGUGGAUUUUGUUUUGGGAAGCAAGUGCAACACCUUGAUUUUCCUCCCAAGCUGAAAACAGGUUUCCUCCCCAAAUGCUGUAAAGGCCGUGGCCGUGACUCCACUCCCCACUGCCGAGCUGCACCUGCAGUAUCAGCUCCUUGACACGAGUGGGAAGUGAUUGCCUCCAGAUGAGCUCUACGGAUGCAGGGGGAGUUUGCUUUGCACUUGGGAGGUUUUACCAGGAAAACAAAGCCAUCUGGGAUUGUGAAGUCUCAGGUAAUGCUAAGCAGAAAUUACUCACCCUGUGGAGUAAUAUUGAGGAGUCAAUUCCCAGCCCAUCUGCUAGCUGGCCUGAGAUAAGAGCGUCUCAGGCAUGGAGCAUGGAGAGCUGCCUGCCAGAGGGCUAAUUGCAGCACAACAUGAUGUUGUGAAGUACGUCCCUGCUGGGGACCUCACUGGGGCUCGGGAACCGCAUUUUAGCCCUGUGUGCACUGCAGAGACUUCAGAGCAGCACUGCUUUUGGUGUUCUUCUUGGGGACACCGGCACCGGCUCUUCACCUUUCGCUUGGCCCCGAGGAUGGCGUUUUCUGAGCCCUGCCCCAGUUUGCUGCAACUUUGUGUCUCCUCUUUUCCUAACUGUCAUUUGGCUGAAGAGCAAGAUGAGUUGCGUGAGAUCCACACCCCUUUGAAGCCGAUGUGUUUCUCAGAAAGGAGUUUGAGCUUUCCCCUGUCUUCCACCAAGCAGCUCAGUUGAGACAACCUGGAACUUACCAUGGAUCAGCUGAAGGAACCCAACUCAUAAACGAUCCCAGCA
rnacentral:lncRNA from 1 species